rnacentral:tRNA from 1 species
GCCUAGCGUUAGCCUUUUAAGCUAAAGAUUGGUGACUCCCAACCACCCCUAGCGA